rfam:Hordeum vulgare subsp. vulgare, WGS project CAJW01000000 data, contig: morex_contig_1561999
AAUAUACUUCCUCCGUUCAAAAAUACUUGUCCUAAAAAUAAAUGUAUCUAGAUUUAUUUUAAUUAUAGAUACAUUCAUUUUAUUCAUUUCUAGGACAACUAUUUUCCGACAGAGGGAGUAGUAC